UAACAUCCACAGGCUGGCCUGGGGCUGAGCUGAGUGACUAUUUCUUCGAAAGGCUCAUCCUCAAGCACAACUAGGAUC
rnacentral:pre_miRNA from 1 species